AGAGUUUGAUCCUGGCUCAGAACGAACGCUGGCGGCAGGCCUCAAACAUGCAAGUCUAGGGGGCGUAGCAAUACGUCACCGGCGGACGGGUGCGUAACACGUGGGAAUGUACCUAUUGGUUCGGAACAACUCAGGGAAACUUGAGCUAAUACCGAAUGUGCCCGAAAGGGGAAAGAUUCAUCGCCAAUAGAUCAGCCCGCGUCCGAUUAGCUAGUUGGUGAGGUAAAGGCUCACCAAGGCGACGAUCGGUAGCUGUUCUGAGAGGAAGAUCAGCCACACUGGGACUGAGACACGGCCCAGACUCCUACGGGAGGCAGCAGUUGGGAAUCUUGGACAAUGGGGGAAACCCUGAUCCAGCCAUGCCGCGUGAGUGAUGAAGGCCUUAGGGUUGUAAAACUCUUUCGGCGGGGACGAUAAUGACGGUACCCGCAGAAGAAGCUCCGGCUAACUUCGUGCCAGCAGCCGCGGUAAUACGAAGGGGGCUAGCGUUGUUCGGAAUUACUGGGCGUAAAGCGUGCGCAGGCGGCUUUUCAAGUCAGUGGUGAAAGCCCGGAGCUCAACUCCGGAACUGCCAUUGAAACUGUUUAGCUCGAGUACGAGAGAGGUGAGUGGAAUUCCCAGUGUAGAGGUGAAAUUCGUAGAUAUUGGGAAGAACACCGGUGGCGAAGGCGGCUCACUGGCUCGUAACUGACGCUCAUGCACGACAGCGUGGGGAUCAAACAGGAUUAGAUACCCUAGUAGUCC
rnacentral:rRNA from 1 species